rnacentral:rRNA from 1 species
UACGGGGGGUGCGAGCGUUGUCCGGAAUCACUGGGCGUAAAGGGCGCGUAGGUGGUUUGAUAAGGGUGUGGUGAAAGUCCGGGGCUCAACCCCGGAUCUGCCGUGCCGACUGUCAAACUCGAGGACUGAAGAGGCAGACGGAAUUCCGGGUGUAGCGGUGGAAUGCGUAGAGAUCCGGAGGAAGACCGGUGGCGAAGGCGGUCUGCUGGGCAGUUUCUGACACUGAGGCGCGACAGCGUGGGGAGCAAACAGG